CGGCCGUUUUAAUUUCUUUCAACUUUUUUUUUUUUUUCUAUGUGUUCAAGAAGUUGGUGGUUUUAAUCUGUUGUUAAAAUGUUGGGAGUUUAAUAUAUUAGUCACACGUUCAUGGUUUUAGUUUGUUUUAAUAAAUAAUUGAGAGAUGUGUAUAAGAUAUAUAUAGUGGAAAAAUUAGGAUCCAUCAAAGUUGAUUCAUCAGGUAAUUAAUAAAU
rnacentral:lncRNA from 1 species